AUGCCGAUCGCCAUGGACACUGGAGGCGCGCCGGAGCCGGAGCCGGAGGAGGAGACCGUCGUCCUCCCUCAUUGGGUGAUGCUGGACCGCAAGGGCAACACCCUCUGCCACAACAGUCUAGAAGCUGCUCGUGUGGCUGUCGACAAGGACAAGACCGCCGCUCCGGUCGACAUGGACGGCGGCCCCUCCUGCUACGUGGCCUUCACCCUCGCGGCUCCUCAAAAAGGGAUCUCCUGCCUCAACCUCCACUUGCCGGAGGGACCUCCAAUUGCCUUAGACACCCCGCCCGCCUAUGCCUUCCUCCGGGCAACCGACAACAACCUCGUCCUCUUUGACAUCUCCAACCCGCAGAAAAAAGUCCUCUUCGACAUCUCCAACCCGAGCCAGAGUUGCUACUGGGAGCCCCCGGCAGAUCUGUUCGUCUACAAGGCCGGCGGUCCUCGCCCCUCGGUGCAGCGGCUCCCACCCUACACAAUCGAGAGCAACAUGCCGUUCCUGAUGGGUUUCGUCACCACAGGCAUCCUGCGGCUCAAAGAUGAGGAUCGCUACAUCGUUGCCGAUAUCAAUGUCUACCGCGGAAAAAAUGGUAUGUGUGCCCAACUCUGCGUCUUCCGCUCUGGGGCUAAACAGUGGGAACUCAGCCCCGAGAUGCCUGCCCCUCAGCCGCAGGACCAGAGCAAUGGCGGCCAGUUCCCCAACCUCUGGUCAACCGACAAUCUGCUUGCUUUUGCCGGCCGUUUCCUGUGCUGUAUUGACUACAUGAGUGGUGUUCUGCUAUGUGACUUCGUGAUACAAGACUUGUCCCCAGUGCUCCGCUUUGUGCCUUUCCCUGGGAAAAAUGAUUUCUCUGAUGAGGAACGGGUUGAAAGGCGCUUCCCUGACAGAUUCCGAAGUGUGUCCAUCAGCCAAGGCAUGCUGUGCUUUGUGCACAUUGACAAUGACUUCCAUGGGCCGCCUCCUGCGAGAAAAAGCCGAGGCCAGCAGAAGCGGCCUACCCAGGAAAUCACCGUUUGGACGUUGGACUCCAACAAGUUCGAGUGGAAGCUACAUCAUGUGAUCAACCUGGAUUCUCUCUGGGCGCAACCUGGCUACCUAGAUCUGCACAUAGAUCAGCGUCUUCCUGAGUUCCCAACCAUCAGCUUGGAUGACCCGAAUGUUCUUUGCUGCCUGUUAACAGAGGAGGAGUUUGAUGGUGAUGGGUGGAAUAUCAUGGUUGGCAACAAUGCACAUCUGCUGUCAUGUGUCUCUCUGGGUGCGGAACAUCGCCAUAACCACCUUCCUGAUACCUCCCCACUUCCAACUGUCUUCUGCAAAUACCUUGAAAGGCCAACAGGUGGCUUGGUGUCUAAUGCUAGGAUCUUUACUAUAUGGGCGCUAAGGGUACACGCAGAGCGAUAUCACAUCAGAGAAGAUGUCACAUAUUUUUCUAGCAUUCUUGUUUGCCUUGCAAAUUCAUUAUGCUAG
rnacentral:rRNA from 1 species